GGAGGUUGCAGUCAGCCAAGAUCGUGCCACUGCACUCCAGCCUGGAUGACAGAGCGAAACUCCAUCUCAAAAAAAAAAAAAAAAAAUUAAAAAAUUAGCCAGGUGCGUGCCUGUAGUCCCAGCUACUCGGGAGGCUGAGGCAGAGGAUCACUUGAACCUAUAGGAGUUUGAGGCUGCAGUGAGCUACGAUUGCACCACUGCACUCCAGCCUGGGCAACAGAACAAGUCUCAUAACAAAACUAAAACCUACUUGAUUUGGCUUUUUUACCGUAGAAGUUGAUUUGGGCUUUCCUGAUUUCUAGUAGCUUGUUUUCUUCUUAAAAGACCCAGUAACUAAAGG
rnacentral:lncRNA from 10 species